rnacentral:misc_RNA from 1 species
CCCUAGCCCUGAUCGCAGCGGUUACCCCACAGCAAGCGCUUCGACAGGCUCAGGACAGGCGGGCUUGCGAGGAGUAUGAGCGAAGAGCAGGUUCCCGG